UACACACAAACAUGUAAUACAGUGCCAGAUUUUCUGGAUGUUAUAUACACAUUUGUAUUUGCAAACAUAUAUCAUAUUGUUUUAAAUGAUGUAUUUUUGUGUGGGUUUUUACAUUCAGAGAAAGUUACAGUGGAUCGUGAUUUUGGAGGAGGUGAAGUCCAGUCUAAAAGAGUCCACUCAAGUAUCAUCACCAUGGUACAGUGUCUGUGAAGAUAGUGAUGCAGACCCAGCAUUCACAAAAAAAGAGAGGUCCCAUAAAGAGAAGAUCCUGGAGCAAACAGGAAGUACAUGCUGUGGUGAAAGCUGAACCAUUGGCUCUAAAAACCAGAGAUUGUUAAAAUACGACAGAAACAGAAAUAGAACAUACUGGUGGGUUUUAAGAGUUUACCCAAAAAUGUACAUUAUAUUAUUAAUUACUUGCCCUCAUCUCACUCUAACCCCCUGAGACCUUCAUUCUUCUUCAGACUCAAAGGAAGAUAACUUAGAUGAAGUGCAAGAACUCCUCAUCCUCCAUAGACAGCAAGGGAUUGAAACAAUAUGAAGGAGAAGAAUUAAUAACAGAAUCUCCAUUUUGGGGUGAACUAACCCUUUAAUAUUGUUUGCUAUUGCACUUAACUAAAUGUGUAUACAGACAUGGAAGAGUUAUGUGGAAGCUUGUUAUACCCAAUGAGAACUGCUUUUAGACAUGCAAGAGAGUUUCAUGGAUUUUGUGUUUACUGUUUUUUGUGUUUAAAGGUUUUGUGGAAAUUAUUUAUAAUAAAUAUAACAUUUAUUAAAUUUAUUCUGGACCAUUUCCUGUUUGGAUCUUGAGGUUCCUUCUGUAUUCAAAUUACAUAUUUUAUAAACUGACCUGCUCUUCAAAUGAAAAUUCUAAAGCAGUUUACUGUCAAAUUACUUGAUUGAGGUUUAAAAUUUAAUAUUAGUAAGGGUGCUGAUCUGAUCCCCAUGUUGCCUAAAAACCGGUAAUGUGUGUGUAGAUCUGGUCCUUACUUUGACUCAAAACCAGUGAUGUGUGUG